rnacentral:miRNA from 1 species
AGUCAGCCUGUGCUUUGAAACUUUGAGGCUAAGCAUUGACUUCUCUCUAGCUAUGAAAGUCCUAGACGGCAUCAUUUUCCUGUAUAAGACUGUGUUGUCUAUGUUG